AUGAGGAUGGCUCAGUCGGUAGAGCACGAGACUCUUAAUCUCAGGCUCAUGGGUUCAAGAAGAGAAGAAGAGUUUGGAUUUGAUAUCCCACUUUAUCACU